UACGUAGGGACCAAGCGUUGUCCGGAAUCAUUGGGCGUAAAGAGCUCGUAGGCGGUCUGUCGCGUCUGCUGUGAAAACUCGGGGCUUAACCCCGGGCCUGCAGUGGGUACGGGGCAGACUAGAGUGCGGUAAGGGAGACUGGAAUUCCUGGUGUAGCGGUGAAAUGCGUAGAUAUCAAGAGGAACACCUGAGGUGAAGACGGGUUGCUGGGCCGACACUGACGCUGAGUGCGCGAAAGCCAGGGGAGCAAACGGGG
rnacentral:rRNA from 1 species